AUUGAACGCUGGCGGCAGGCCUAACACAUGCAAGUCGAGCGGAUGAAGGGAGCUUGCUCCUGGAUUCAGCGGCGGACGGGUGAGUAAUGCCUAGGAAUCUGCCUGGUAGUGGGGGAUAACGUCCGGAAACGGGCGCUAAUACCGCAUACGUCCUGAGGGAGAAAGUGGGGGAUCUUCGGACCUCACGCUAUCAGAUGAGCCUAGGUCGGAUUAGCUAGUUGGUGGGGUAAAGGCCUACCAAGGCGACGUUCCGUAACUGGUCUGAGAGGAUGAUCAGUCACACUGGAACUGAGACACGGUCCAGACUCCUACGGGAGGCAGCAGUUGGGAAUAUUGGACAAUGGGCGAAAGCCUGAUCCAGCCAUGCCGCGUGUGUGAAGAAGGUCUUCGGAUUGUAAAGCACUUUAAGUUGGGAGGAAGGGCAGUAAGUUAAUACCUUGCUGUUUUGACGUUACCAACAGAAUAAGCACCGGCUAACUUCGUG
rnacentral:rRNA from 1 species